rnacentral:rRNA from 1 species
AGCAGCCGCCGCGGUAAAACGGAGGGUGCAAGCGUUAAUCGGAAUUACUGGGCGUAAAGCGCACGCAGGCGGUCUGACAAGUCAGAUGUGAAAUCCCCGGGCUUAACCUGGGAACUGCAUUUGAAACUGUCAGGCUGGAGUCUUGUAGAGGGGGGUAGAAUUCCAGGUGUAGCGGUGAAAUGCGUAGAGAUCUGGAGGAAUACCGGUGGCGAAGGCGGCCCCCUGGACAAAGACUGACGCUCAGGUGCGAAAGCGUGGGGAGCAAACAGGAUUAGAUACCCGCGUAGUCCCUGUCUCUUAUAC